rnacentral:misc_RNA from 1 species
GCAAACUUGGUCAUUUAGAGGAAGUAAAAGUUGUAACAAGGUUUCCGUAGGUGAACCUGCGGAAGGAUCAUUAACGAGUCCGUUGGGUUGUGUGGGUGGUGGGGAGAGAGGGUGGAUGGGAUGGGGUUGCGCUGUGUAACCCUAGCCUGUUUGAUUGCAUUCUCUCGCCUUUUGCCUACACACGACAUUUGAUCGGUGGCAAUGUAAAUUGUUACUGAUAUUGAUAAUUAAAAUGGAAAUGACUAGAAUAUGAAUGAUAAAUUGAAAAACUUUUAACAAUGGAUCUCUAGGCUCUUGCAUCGAUGAAGAACGCAGC